GACGAACGCUGGCGGCGUGCUUAACACAUGCAAGUCGAACGGAAAGGCCCUGCUUUUGUGGGGUGCUCGAGUGGCGAACGGGUGAGUAACACGUGAGUAACCUGCCCUUGACUUUGGGAUAACUUCAGGAAACUGGGGCUAAUACCGGAUAGGAGCUCCUGCUGCAUGGUGGGGGUUGGAAAGUUUCGGCGGUUGGGGCUGGACUCGCGGCUUAUCAGCUUGUUGGUGGGGUAGUGGCUUACCAAGGCUUUGACGGGUAGCCGGCCUGAGAGGGUGACCGGCCACAAUGGGACUGAGAUACGGCCCAGUCUCGUACGGGCGGCAACAGUGGGGAAUAUUACACAAUGGGCGGAAGCCUGAUGCAGCAACGCCGCGUGCGGGAUGACGGCCUUCGGGUUGUAAACCGCUUUCGCCUGUAACGAAGCGUGAGUGACGGUAAUGAGUAAAGAAGCACCGGCUAACUACGUG
rnacentral:rRNA from 1 species